CAGUGGUGUGACUGGUUCUUUGACCUGUGGUGUGUUGGCUAUUCACAGCAAGGCUAUUUAGUUUGACUACAUGUUCCCCUGGUCUCUAGCCAUUCAGAUUCUUGCUGUGUACGUAGGCUAUUGCAGGUUCAAAUUUAUUGUUUGGAGUAGGAUACACCUAGAUAGAAUCUAUCGAUCUUAGUAGAAAAAGAGUAAUCCUAUGCGAUUUGCAAGAUUGAGUUCAGGAAGCCUUUAGCUAGAGUAAGA
rnacentral:lncRNA from 1 species